GAUGAACGCUGGCGGCGUGCCUAAUACAUGCAAGUCGAGCGAACAGACGAGGAGCUUGCUCCUCUGACGUUAGCGGCGGACGGGUGAGUAACACGUGGAUAACCUACCUAUAAGACUGGGAUAACUUCGGGAAACCGGCGCUAAUACCGGAUAAUAUAUUGAACCGCAUGGUUCAAUAGUGAAAGACGGUUUUGCUGUCACUUAUAGAUGGAUCCGCGCCGCAUUAGAUAGUUGGUAAGGUAACGGCUUACCAAGGCGACGAUGCGUAGCCGACCUGAGAGGGUGAUAGGCGGCACUGGAGCUGAGACGCGGUCCAGACUACUAAGGGAGGCAGCAGAAGGGAAUCGUCCGCAAUGGGCGAAAGCCUGACGGAGCAACGCCGCGUGAGUGAUGAAGGUCUUCGGAUCGGAAAAAUCGGUUAUUAGGGAAGAACAAAUGUGUAAGUAACUAUGCACGUCUUGACGGUACCGAAUCAGAAAGCCACGGCUAACUACGUG
rnacentral:rRNA from 1 species